rnacentral:rRNA from 1 species
UACGUAGGCAGCGAGCGUUGUUCGGAGUUACUGGGUGUAAAGCGUGCGUAGGCGGUGUCUUAAGUUUGUUGUGAAAUCUCCCGGCUUAACCGGGAGGGUGCGGCGAAUACUGAGAUGCUGGAGUGCCGGAGAGGUAAGCGGAAUUCCUGGUGUAGCGGUGAAAUGCGUAGAUAUCAGGAGGAACACCUGCGGUGUAGACGGCUUACUGGACGGUAACUGACGCUGAGGCACGAAAGCGUGGGUAGCAAACAGG